rnacentral:rRNA from 1 species
AUUGAACGCUGGCGGCAGGCCUAACACAUGCAAGUCGAACGAGUGGCGGACGGGUGAGUAAUGUCUGGGAAACUGCCUGAUGGAGGGGGAUAACUACUGGAAACGGUAGCUAAUACCGCAUACCAUCGGAUGUGCCCAGAUGGGAUUAGCUAGUAGGUGGGGUAAAGGCUCACCUAGGCGACGAUCCCUAGCUGGUCUGAGAGGAUGACCAGCAAAACGAGAACUGAAACACGGUCCAGACUCCUACGGGAGUCAGUAGUGGGGAAUGUUGCACAAUGGGAGCAAGCCGGAGACAGCCAUAACGCGUGUAUGAAGGAGGCCUUCAGGUUGUAAAGUACAUUCAGCGGGGAGGCGUUACCCGCAGGAAGAGCGCCAGCUAACUCCGUGCCAGCAGCCACGGUAAUAC